rnacentral:rRNA from 1 species
GAUGAACGCUGGCGGCGUGCCUAAUACAUGCAAGUCGAGCGAACGGACGAGAAGCUUUCUUUUCUGAUGUUAGCGGCGGACGGGUGAGUAACACGUGGAUAACCUACCUAUAAGACUGGGAUAACUUCGGGAAACCGGAGCUAAUACCGGAUAAUAUUUUGAACCGCAUGGUUCAAAAGUGAAAGACGGUCUUGCUGUCACUUAUAGAUGGAUCCGCGCUGCAUUAGCUAGUUGGUAAGGUAACGGCUUACCAAGGCAACGAUGCAUAGCCGACCUGAGAGGGUGAUCGGCCACACUGGAACUGAGACACGGUCCAGACUCCUACGGGAGGCAGCAGUAGGGAAUCUUCCGCAAUGGGCGAAAGCCUGACGGAGCAAAGCCGCGUGAGUGAUGAAGGUCUUCGGAUCUUAAAACUCUGUUAUUAGGGAAGAACAUAUGUGUAAGUAACUGUGCACAUCUUGAAGGUACCUAAUCAGAAAGCCACGGCUAACUACGUG